rnacentral:rRNA from 1 species
CAGCAGCCGCGGUAAAACGAAGGGGGCUAGCGUUGCUCGGAAUGACUGGGCGUAAAGGGCGCGUAGGCGGCGAUCAAAGUCAGGCGUGAAAUUCCUGGGCUCAACCUGGGGGCUGCGCUUGAUACUUGGUUGCUUGAGUGGGGAAGAGGGUCGUGGAAUUCCCAGUGUAGAGGUGAAAUUCGUAGAUGUUGGGAAGAACACCGGUGGCGAAGGCGGCGACCUGGUCCUUGACUGACGCUGAGGCGCGAAAGCGUGGGGAGCAAACAGGAUUAGAUACCCGUGAAGUCCCUGUCUCUUAUAA